ensembl:snRNA U6 U6 spliceosomal RNA
GUACUUAUUUCAGCAGCACAUAUUUUAAAAUUGCAUCAAUACAGAGCAGAUAAGCAUGGCUGCUGCCCAGGGAUGGCAUGAAAAUUCUUAAAGCAUUCCACAUUUUG